UACGUAGGGGGCGAGCGUUGUCCGGAAUUAUUGGGCGUAAAGGGUGCGUAGGCGGUCUAUCAAGUCUGGUUUGAAAUUUUAUGGCUUAACCAUAACAGGUGACUAGAACCUGGUAGACUUGAGGAUAGAAGAGGAAAGUGGAAUUCCACGUGUAGCGGUGAAAUGCGUAGAGAUGUGGAGGAACACCGGUGGCGAAGGCGGCUUUCUGGUCUAUCACUGACGCUAAUGCACGAAAGCGUGGGUAGCAAACAGG
rnacentral:rRNA from 1 species